rnacentral:siRNA from 1 species
AGAUGUGAAUAGUGUUGUCAAUGA